UAUAUGCAACUCUUUCUAGAACUGUUGUAUAAGCAGAUGAAUUUGUUUCAAAUUCGUUAACCAUUUGAAGGUUUUACAGAUUCAUGCUCCGACAAAGUGUUACUGAAGUUCCUACAUAUGAAAAGUAAAACAUUUAGAUAUGUGCCCUUGUGUUUAUUUCAUAGUUUGAAUUUGAACUAUGACGGCUUCUAGGGUGGACCACUAUCACAGGUGUCCACCAUGCACUACUAUUAAUGACCCUUGGAUUAAUCUAUGGAGCGUCUUCUUAUCAUGCACUCUCUACACUAUAUUCCUUCUCCGUUCCUCUUCUUCUCCCCUCACCCUAUGAACCACCUUGGCUAAGAAUGGUUGCUGCGCUGCCGGAGUUACUAUACCAUGAAUCAAAAUCAAAGCAAACCCAGAUUCAAAAUCUAAAAAUUAAAUAGCAGAAUUUCCAUAUUAGUUCAUCAACAAAUUCCAAACAAUAAUUCAAGCAAUAAAAAAACAAAUAACCCAAACACAUUGUGAGUAAUGUACUGUGUAGGGACAUCAAUCCAACACCGAUUGUCCACCUGAUGCUCUCAUAAUUCAUGGUGCUGUGGAUUAGAAUACAUUAUUAGCUUGAAAACAUGGAGCUCAAAACAGAAGUUGGGGGAAAAACCAAACACAUGGUUCCUUGCAGCAAAGAACAAAUCAAACCAUGAAUCCACUUGACAUAUCAAAAGUUCCCAAAAUACAUAUACACAGAUCAAGAAAAUUGAAGAUUCCUAAUUCUUCAGUUAAACGAUACAAACAAACUAAAAAUAAUUAAAGUAAAUAAUAAGAGUUGUAGCAGCAAAGGCGGGGAUGAGGAUCUCUAUGAUCAGAUCUGGAAACGCGAGAGAACAUCAUGAGCACCACUUUGAUCGUUUGUAGUGGCCUUAACCGGAUCUAGACCGAGCACCACCAUUGUUUGUCCGGGCCUUGUGUGGAUGUGGAUCGAGCACCACCACCGUUUGCCAUGGCCUUGAGCGGAUCUAGACUGACUACCAACAUCAUUCACCCUAGGGUCAUUAAUAGUGGUUCACGGACCACCUAUAAAGGUAGUCCACCCUACAAUGCUGAGUUCAGAAAAUAUGUACUUUCAUUAAAUUAGCAUUGUCUGGUAGAGAGGCUGGAAAUAGAGGAGAAAUAUUUAAAUUAGAGUAGAGAGUGUGGGACUCAUAUGGGACCCACAGUAUUUCCCUUCUAUUUCUCUCCCCCCCGCCCCCACUCUAUUGCCCCCCUAGUCCCCUGCCAAACAAAACAUUCCUGUUACUUUACUCAAUUUCCCUGGACCACUUAUAAACUGACCUGUCAAUGCUAAUCUGCUGUUAUAUCGUUGUAGUCAUCAUAAUCUGAAGAUUAUAUUCUGAUAGUUUAAGAUAAUAUACUGCAGGCUAUGGUAGUCAGAGGUUUUAAAGGGGACACUGGCAGUCAUAAAAUUUACUUUUUGUCCGAAUCAUCUUUUGGGAUGCUAGAUGUUAUAUCCUGUUUGUGUUUCAAAAUAUUAGAAAAAAUUUAAAUCUCAUAUUCAAGAUUAAUAAAAAAAAAAAAGAUCAUCCACAUUGUUGUUCACGCACCAAGCUUAAGAAAUGCGGGACGUGAGGAGGUGUGUGGGAAAAAACCUAAGUCUUACAUUAACUAAAAAUAAAAUCAAAUUAGAAUAUGUAAGUGAGGAGUAACUCUCAUCCCUUAAGUUAACUUUUGGGGUUGAGUUAAGUCUAAACUCACAUUCUAAGUAGAUGGUACCAAAAAAGUACUGCGGCGUGAGGGAUGUGUUGAGAAAAAUUCAAAUGUAAUUCUUUUGUGGAUAAUAACUGAAAAUUUUUUGUAAGAAAUUCUAUGCCUAAAUUUCUAGUGGAUUUCAAAUUCGUAGGUAAAUUUUAUGCAGAUUUUGAAACUUGUAGGUAACUUUCUUGUGGAUUUAAAAUUUGAAAGAAAUUUUGUUGAUAAUUUUUCUGAGAAUUUUAAAAUAAAUUAAAAUAUAUUUUUCAUCCUCAUAAAUGUAAAAAAUUCAAAAUUCAUCCCCGUGAAAUCUUCAGCAUGUUUUUUUUUUACUGGAAACAAGGUUUGAACAUUUGAACCUACGUGCAUUGUCUUUUUUCAUCAAUUAUAUAAAAAAAAUGUCAUUUAUAUCAAUUAUAUGCAUAAUUGAAAUAAAAAAAAUGUUGUGUUUACAUCAAUUAUAUACCUAACUUGUGUUUUAAAAUUAAAUUUAACUAGAAAUAUUAAGUGAUAAAUUUUAUAAUACUUUUUAGAUCAACUAAGAGUGUGUUGAUAUAACUUGUUAAUAUGUUAUCUAAAUUAUUUUAAUGAUAAAAAUAUAAAAUAAAACAAACAUAAUAUAAGUACCAAACUAAAAAAAAACUUAGAAGAACAAAAAAGUUGAAAUUAUUGUUGUUGUCAAGAGAAUUUUUUAAAAAUUUAAAUUUUAGUUUAAAUAUAUUUUUCUUUCUUGAAAAGUUAUUAGAUUUUAUAUUUGAUCUUUGAAAUAAAAUAAAAAAAGAUUAUGCAUUUGGUAAUUGAACAAUUUCUUAUUUUAUAUUUCGUUCUUGCACAUUAAUAUUUAGGACACGAAAUCUUCACAUGCAACAACAUCAAAGAAUAGUGUUUGAACAUAUUUGAAGAAGAAAUUAAGUUUAUUAUCACAAUCAGAUCUAAUAAUGAUGAAUAAAUCACAAUGUUCGAGAAUAUCAUGAAGUGCACAGGAAAUACAUGGCAAAAUUUAUAUCACAGGUGUCUAAAGUUUAAACACAACAAAGCAAAAGUGAAGAUAAUAAAAGGGAAAAACAAUGAGAUGGCAACAGAGCUACAUGUUCUAAAUUUCAAGUUAUGAGGAAAGGAAUAUACCGUAUACAUAUACAUAACUCAGUAGCCCUGACCCUUUUUAUUUUUAUCACUUUGAAGAGUGGAGGUGAGCUUGGUGCUAGAGGAAAACGUGAGGGCCUCAUCUCUUAUGUGGGUUUGGUGAAGAAUUAAUGCAUGCACGAGGAGGUUUUUGAUUUUCUGGGCGCGUCUAGCAUGGGAAUAUGGGUCGUGGACGAGGUGGUGCAUGAUCUGCGCACCUACACGCAUCCUCAAAGAAACACAUAUCCUACUGUCAUAAAACCUUUCACAACGUGGGAGACAUAUGUUGAGGUCCCGCAUGCUAGCCUGCGUCUUGAUUUUUUACCGGAGAAAAUCACAUAGUCUUACUUGUAUAGUAAUACUUUUA
rnacentral:lncRNA from 1 species